GCUCUCUUCAGCAAAACAUAUUCUAAAAUGAGAAUUAUACAAAGUAAAUUAGCAUGGCCCCUGCACAAGAAUGACGCUCACGUAUGAUGUCCUCCAUAUUUAA
ensembl:snRNA U6 U6 spliceosomal RNA